rnacentral:piRNA from 1 species
UGACUGUCUGCUUAGAACGGCUGUGUCCCU